rnacentral:rRNA from 1 species
UGUACCUACGGGAGGCAGCAGUGAGGAAUAUUGGUCAAUGGGCGCAAGCCUGGACCAGCCAAGUCGCGUGAGGGAUGACGGUCCUAUGGAUUGUAAACCUCUUUUGUCGGGGAGCAAGGCCCGCCACGUGUGGCGGGAAGGAGAGUACCCGAAGAAAAAGCCUCGGCUAACUCCGUGCCAGCAGCCGCGGUAAUACGGAGGAUGCGAGCGUUAUCCGGAUUUAUUGGGUUUAAAGGGUGCGUAGGCGGACG